UUUUAUGGAGAGUUUGAUCCUGGCUCAGGAUGAACGCUGGCGGCGUGCCUAAUACAUGCAAGUCGAGCGAACGGACGAGAAGCUUGCUUCUCUGAUGUUAGCGGCGGACGGGUGAGUAACACGUGGAUAACCUACCUAUAAGACUGGGAUAACUUCGGGAAACCGGAGCUAAUACCGGAUAAUAUUUUGAACCGCAUGGUUCAAAAGURAAAGACGGUCUUGCUGUCACU
rnacentral:rRNA from 1 species